rnacentral:rRNA from 1 species
GAUGAACGCUGGCGGCGUGCCUAACACAUGCAAGUCGAGCGGACGGACGAGAAGCUUGUGUCUCUGAUGUUUGCCGCGGACGGGUGUGUAACACGUGUAUAACCUACCUAUAAGUGGGGGAUCAUUUCGGGAAACCGGAUCUUAUACGGGAGAAUAUCUUGAACCGCAUGGGUGGAAGGUAAAAGACGGUGUUGCUGGCAGUUCUAGAUGGUUACGCGCUUCAUUAGGUAGUUGGUAAGGUCAAGGGUUUCCAAGGCAACGAGGCCUUGCCGAGUUGAGAGGGUGGUAGGCGACCCUGGAGCGGGGACACGGUCCAGGCUCCUGAGAGAGGCAGCAGACUGCAAUCUUACGCAGUGGGGGAAAGCCUGACGGAGCAAGGGCGAGUGAGUUAUGAAGGUCUUCGGAUCGUAAAACUCUGUUAUUAGUGAAGAACAGCUGUGUAAGUUACUGUGCACAUCUUGACGGUACCUAAUCAGAAAGCCACGGCUAACUACGUG